GCGGAGGAAAAGAAACCAACAGGGAUUGCCCCAGUAACGGCGAGUGAAGCGGCAACAGCUCAAAUUUGAAAUCUGGUCCCCCCGCGGGGCCCGAGUUGUAAUUUGAAGAGGAUGCUUCUGGCAAGGUGCCGUCCGAGUUCCCUGGAACGGGACGCCGCAGAGGGUGAGAGCCCCGUACGGUCGGACGCCGAGCCUCUGUGAAGCUCCUUCGACGAGUCGAGUAGUUUGGGAAUGCUGCUCAAAAUGGGAGGUAAACCCCUUCUAAAGCUAAAUACCGGCCAGAGACCGAUAGCGCACAAGUAGAGUGAUCGAAAGAUGAAAAGCACUUUGAAAAGAGAGUUAAAAAGCACGUGAAAUUGUUGAAAGGGAAGCGCUUGCGACCAGACUCGCGCCCGUCGGAUCAGCCGUCGCUCGUCGGCGGCGCACUCCGGCGGGCUCGGGCCAGCAUCAGUUCGCCUCGGGGGGAGAAAGGCGGCGGGAAUGUGGCUCCACGGAGUGUUAUAGCCCACCGCGUAAUACC
rnacentral:rRNA from 1 species